rnacentral:rRNA from 1 species
CCUACGGGUGGCUGCAGUGGGGAAUCUUGCGCAAUGGCCGAAAGGCUGACGCAGCGACGCCGCGUGUGGGAUGAAGGUCUUCGGAUUGUAAACCACUGUCGGGGGGGACGAAAUCUUGACGGUACCCCCAAAGGAAGCACCGGCUAACUCUGUGCCAGCAGCCGCGGUAAUACAGAGGGUGCGCGCGUUGUCCGGAAUCACUGGGCGUAAGGGGCGCGUAGGCGGCCUGGUAAGUCGGGGGUGAAACGCUGCGGCUCACCCGGAGGACUGCCUUCGAGAAUGUCAGGCUUGAGCACGGUAGAGGCUGGUGGAAUUCCCGGUGUAGCGGUGGAAUGCGUAGAGAUCGGGAAGAACAUCGGUGGCGAAGGCGGCCAGCUGGGCCGUUGCUGACGCUGAGGCGCGACAGCGUGGGGAGCAAACAGGAUUAGAUACCCCAGUAGUC